CGGACGGGUGAGUAAUGUAUGGGGAUCUGCCUGAUGGCGGGGGAUAACUACUGGAAACGGUAGCUAAUACCGCAUAAUGUCUGCGGACCAAAGCGGGGGACCUCCGGGCCUCGCGCCAUCAGAUGAACCCAUAUGGGAUUAGCUAGUAGGUAAGGUAACGGCUUACCUAGGCGACGAUCCCUAGCUGGUCUGAGAGGAUGAUUAGCCACACUGGGACUGAGACACGGCCCAG
rnacentral:rRNA from 1 species